rnacentral:pre_miRNA from 1 species
CUUGUACUCCCUCCGUCCGAAAAUACUUGUCAUUGAAAUGGAUGUAUCUAGAUGUAUUUUAGUUCUAGACACAUCCAUUUUGAUGACCCCGGACGGAGGGAGUACUAG